rnacentral:rRNA from 1 species
AGAGUUUGAUCCUGGCUCAGAACGAACGCUAUCGGUAUGCUUAACACAUGCAAGUCGAACGGACUAAUUGGGGCUUGCUCCAAUUAGUUAGUGGCAGACGGGUGAGUAACACGUGGGAAUCUACCCAUCAGUACGGAAUAACUUUUAGAAAUAAAAGCUAAUACCGUAUAUUCUCUACGGAAGAAAGAUUUAUCGCUGAUGGAUGAGCCCGCGUCAGAUUAGGUAGUUGGUGAGGUAACGGCUCACCAAGCCGACGAUCUGUAGCUGGUCUGAGAGGAUGAUCAGCCACACUGGGACUGAGACACGGCCCAGACUCCUACGGGAGGCAGCAGUGGGGAAUAUUGGACAAUGGGCGAAAGCCUGAUCCAGCAAUACCGAGUGAGUGAUGAAGGCCUUAGGGUUGUAAAGCUCUUUUAGCAAGGAAGAUAAUGACGUU